rnacentral:rRNA from 1 species
GACGAACGCUGGCGGUAUGCUUAACACAUGCAAGUCGAACGAGAAGUCUUUUAUUGAACCUUCGGGGGAUAUAAGAGACAGACAGUGGCGAACGGGUGAGUAACGCGUGGGCAACCUACCUAUCGGAGCGGGAUAGCCUCGAGAAAUCGGGAGUAAAACCGCAUAACACGGAUAUAUCGCAUGAUGAAUCCGUCAAAACUCCGGUGCCGAUAGAUGGGCCCGCGUCUGAUUAGCUAGUUGGUAAGGUAAGGGCUUACCAAGGCAACGAUCAGUAGCCGGUCUGAGAGGGCGAACGGCCACACUGGAACUGAGACACGGUCCAGACUCCUACGGGAGGCAGCAGUGGGGAAUAUUGCGCAAUGGGGGCAACCCUGACGCAGCAAUACCGCGUGAGUGAAGAAGGUUUUCGGAUCGUAAAGCUCUGUUAUUGGGGAAGAAGCAGGACGGCACC